rnacentral:rRNA from 1 species
UGGGGAAUAUUGGGCAAUGGGCGCAAGCCUGACCCAGCAACGCCACGUGAGGGAAGAAGGUUUUCGGAUUGUAAACCUCUGUCCUUGGUGACGAAGGAAGUGACGGUAGCCAAGGAGGAAGCCCCGGCUAACUACGUGCCAGCAGCCGCGGUAAUACGUAGGUGGCAAGCGUUAUCCGGAAUUACUGGGUGUAAAGGGAGCGCAGGCGGGAUAGCAAGUCAGCUGUGAAAACUAUGGGCUCAACCCAUAAACUGCAGUUGAAACUGUUAUUCUUGAGUGGAGUAGAGGCAAGCGGAAUUCCGAGUGUAGCGGUGAAAUGCGUAGAUAUUCGGAGGAACACCAGUGGCGAAGGCGGCUUGCUGGGCUCUAACUGACGCUGAGGCUCGAAAGUGUGGGGAGCAAACAGGAUUAGAUACCCUGGUAGU